UACGAAGGGGGCUAGCGUUGCUCGGAAUUACUGGGCGUAAAGGGCGCGUAGGCGGGCGGGCAAGUCGAAGGUGAAAUCCCACAGCUUAACUGUGGAAGCGCCCCCGAUACUGCUCGUCUGGAGGGAGAUAGGGGCGUGCGGAACUUCCGGUGGAGCGGUGAAUGCGUAGAUAUCGGAAGGAACACCGGUGGCGAAAGCGGCGCGCUGGAUCUCUUCUGACGCUGAGGCGCGAAAGCCAGGGGAGCAAACGGG
rnacentral:rRNA from 1 species